UUCUUCAAGGAGAUAAGUCACUCAAGGAGGUAGGGGAAGGAAGAUGGCAGAAGCGGAUGUUCUGUUUGAAUCAGAUGGCGUGUCAAGUGGAGAUGAGAAGAAUUGGAUUACAGUGGCGAAUACAAAAGGAAAUAAGAGAAGUAAAGUUGUAGUGGAAGCUAGUAAACCCAAGCCUAGUUCUGAUUCUUUUUUGUUUGGAGUAAGAGUUUUGGAUCGAUGGAGUUUCCUGGGAGAUCCAUUUGAAGUCUAUGAAAAUCAUGGAUGCUUUGGGUAAGGUGGUGUCGGUGAGAGUAACGAGAAGUGGGCUUAUUUUGUUAUUUUGUGUAUCUAUGGAACAGAAGGACCGUGCUCCGCGCCUCAAGAAGAUAUCGGAUUGGAAUGUGUCGUGUGUGGAUCUUCGAAGCAGGGCAAAGGAUAUAUGUGAAGAAUUGGAUCAAGUGGUUGGUGCACAACGACUGACCCGCAUGGUGGAUGGAGUGAGGAAGCCCACUCUAUCCAUUCUAUUGUUUUUUUAUUAGAUUCUCUCCCUUCUCACGUCUAUUUGGAUUUUAUGAGAUGAGUCAUGUGAGAACAGUCAUGAUCAAACCCAUGCAAUGUGAAAAAAGGAAAUCAUUUGGCCAUGUGUCAAGUGUAUGUAGAUGAGAGGGGUAUCGUAUGCUGCAAUUGUGGUGGUGAACAUGCACCUGAAUUUCUGAAGUGCCCUGUUAGGGUGAAGGAGACGGAGCUGGCAAGAAUAAGGGCUGUCCAUCAUGUCUCCUGUCCAGGGAUGGUGAGAAGAGUGGAGUGACGUUGAAUAAGUAAUGGUAGUAGGAGUAGAGACACCAGAUGAUGUUCCUUGUCAACAUAGGGAUCCUGACAUGUUGCAUGUUAUGAAUUUGGACUUUGUAGCAUUUAUUGCAUUGGUUAUCAACUGUACAGCGCAAACAGAGAGGAAAUCAGAAAGAAUAGUCAUCGUUGUGAGUGCGGCUGAGCGUUUUUUGGGACUCAGAUUUUACAGCAGAGACAUUACAAGGAGACUUGUUGAUGAAUGCUCUGUCCUCACAGGCGCCUGAGCAGGAGUGAGGUGGUUGUUUUACCACCCCAUACAGUAGGUGGCGGCAAUACACCACUUGGUUGUAGUCUGCCAUAAAACUUUAAAGAAGAAGAAGAAGAUGCGUCACUCAAACUUCGACUCAGGGGCAAGCGGGAAAUACAAUAUUUUGUAGCUAGCUACAAUUCACUAGCUAUAAACUUAACACGCUCUAAACUCUAAGGUAAUUUACGGAACAUGUAUUAACUUUCCAACGUUUGUGAAUAAUACAGCUUCACCUCAUAGCUAGCAAAUUUUUCAUCGGCUAAUAUAUGCCAAAACAACUGCUAGCCAGUUAGUUAUAGCGAGCCAACUAGUUAGCUAGCUAGACACAUUCCAGAAAUGAGCAGUUUGUAUCAAAGCGAUAGCUACAUUGUAACUAUUCAAAUCAAAUUUUAUUGGUCACAUACACAUGGUUAGCAGGUGUUAUUGCUAGUGUUACGAAAUUCUUGCUUAUUAAGGUCAAAGUAUCGAGUUCGUUUGCAAACUCUGCGCAUUUCGUUAUGUCAGCAUUUACAUUUUCUAACGGUACGUUGCCGAUUUGGACAGUAAUACAGCUGGAUACGUUUUAUUAGUCGUAUGUACUGGAUACACAAUGGCAUACACCGUCCAACAAAACGCUUACUUUCAGGGUCUUUCUCGACACUGUAACAGUAAGAAACAAAUAUAUAACAAUACGAACAAAGGAAAUGGCUAAGUAGAAUAUAAUACACAUUUAACCACAAGUAGAUAUAAUGUUAAUACAGGAAGUGUCGUGUGGCAAAUUUUGGUGGCACCAUAAUUGGGAAGGACGGGCUCGUGGUAGUGCAUCUUUAAGGGGCGGCAGGUAGCCUAGUGGUUAGAGCGUUGGGGCCAGUAACUGAAAGGUUGCUAGAUCGAAUCCCUGAGCAGACAGGGUAAAGAUUUGUCGUUCUGCCCCUGAACAAGUUAGCCUGUCUUUGUAAAUAAGAAUUUGUUCUUAACUGUCUUGCCUAGUUAAAAAUAAAAACAAUGACCGGAUCGUUAUUAGUCGAAUGGUAUGAAACAAAUGGUUUGAUGCAAUUCCACUCCAGGUUUUAUUAUCAUCCGUUCUCCCCUCAGCAGCUGACAGGAAGGCACAAUUGAAUGCUUAGAGACGUCAGCUUGUGGCCAUGGGUUCUUUUUUGAUGCUGCGGGCCUUUUACAGGCACCAUUUCGAGGAGAUGUCCUAGAUGGGUGUGAGCACGGUCCCAGUGAUGUACUGGGCCGUUUUCACCACCCGCUGGAGGACCUUGCGGUCGUGGAUGGAACAAUUCCCAUACCAGGCCUUCAUGCAACCGGUCAGGACUUGAUUGACUGUCUGUCAUACACUUUUUGCAGCACCUGCCACAGUAUUGAUAAACUGGAGACUGUGAAAAUAUGCACCAUGAUACAGAGGAGGACAAGAGCAGCCAAGCAUCCAACACGCGCUUCGGGCAGUAUAACUAUACUGCAGAGGAGUACCAGGCAGUCCAGAAUGCACUGCGACAGAAGCUGGGACCUGAAUACAUCAGCUCCAGGAUGGCUGGAGGGGGCCAGAAGGUGUGUUACAUCGAGGGGCACCGUGUGAUCAGCCUGGCCAAUGAGAUGUUUGGAUACAACGGCUGGUCUCACUCCAUCUCCCAGCAGAAUGUCGACUUUGUUGACCUCAUCAAUGGGAAGUUCUACGUUGGAGUCAGUGCGUUUGUCAAAGUCCAACUGAAGGACGGGUCGUUCCAUGAGGACGUUGGCUACGGGGUGAGCGAGGGACAAAAGUCCAAGGCCCUGUCACUGGAGAAGGCCAGGAAAGAGGCAGUCACUGAUGGACUGAAGAGAGCACUCAAAUGUUUUGGAAACGCCCUUGGGAACUGUAUCAUGAAUAAAGAGUACCUCAUAUCCAUCAACAAGAUCCCUAAACAGCCUGCUCCCCCUCUGGACCCGGCCCAGACCAAGCGUUCUGACAGUGAGCCGUCAGUGGAGAAGGCCCGGCUGUCUAGCUUGGCCCGGUGGGAGGGUGCUGGGCCUGGGUCAGGGAGGGCACCACUGGAGCAGCCCAGGGCCCACAACCACCACCAGGCUCCCCCAGGGGAGCACGGGGACAGAGGGAGAGCCAGGACCUUUCUCUCACACACCCCUACUGCUGCCUCUGGACCUGUAGCUCCCUCAGCUCCAUCAGACAGUGAGAACAAGUGCUGUAAUCUUGUCAGGUCUUUAUCAGAUGUGGAGGACCUCUGUCUCUCUGACGCCCACACAGACCCCAAGCAGCUAAGGAAGCUCAAGCAGCAGCAGCUGCAGCAGAAGUUCCGCCAGGAGAUGGAGAUGAAAAAGCUCCUGCAGGGACAACCUCUGCUCCAGCUCAAGACAGAGGGCCCAGACACAGCUAUUGCACAGGCACCCAGUGGAGCUCAUGAUAACCCAGAGCUGUGGGACUUCACUCUUGACGGCAUCCAGGAGUUGGAGGCCCCAGCAGGUGGACAUUCUACAACAUCAUCUUCGUUACGACCCAGCACGCCAGGGGGUAGUCACCAAAUGCUGACCCGCAGUAAGACACCUCAGAGAGGGGCUUCACCAUUCCUACGACCCCCCGUCAGGCCCCACGAGCCCCCACCACACGGCCAAGGACAGGGGGGACACCAACCCCAGUAUCACAACCCUAAGACAUCUGACAGGGCAGGUGAGACUGGGUAAUGAAUGAGCUGCUUUAAAACAGUGGACAUCAUUAACCCUGGUCCUGGGGGACUACUGGGCGUGCUGCGUUUUGUUUCAGACCUGAACUAACAUAUCCAAUUAUCAACACCUUGAUUAGCUGAAUCAGGUGAGGCAUUCAGUCCAUGUAGACAAGGACAGUACAUGAAGAAACGCAAGCUGGACACUUGAGAAAAGGCUGUUACCUAAAAGCCAUUUUACCAACAAGUCUUCAUUUUGAUUUAUUUUAUUUUAAUUGAGUAUAUUGGCAUCUCCUGUUGCUGCUAAAUGUAAAGAAAUGUUUAUGGUUUUUGUAAAUAAAAUCAGGGAUUUGUUUGCCUUUC